UUAAAUACAACUUUGACUUCGAGGCCCGAAUGAAUGGAUAAAGAAAUAAUUACAUAAAUAAAUAAUUAAAGGAAACAAUGAAAAAUAACAGGACUUUAAAACCCCCUUUGCCGCUUAGAAGAUGAGACUUUAACCCGCUUCUUCUUCUUCCGACUCCAUGCAUGUUUGUACUAUAUAACGGACAUUCAAUGCUUUCUAAAGAGGUGGGCCUCAAUGGCCCCAUUUCCUAAUGCGAGAGUAAAGAGCCCAAUUGGCCUCCCGAGUAAAUUCAUGCAAAGAAAAGAUGAGUGAAUUAAUGCCUAUUCUGAAUUUUCAACUGACACGCAAAAUAUUAAAUGAUUUAAAGAAACAUCUACCAACCAGAGGAUUUAAAAUUGAUGGAAAAUAAAUUAGCAUCAAUCCAUGAUUGGUGACCCUAACUAACCACUAAAGCACUUGAGCAAUCAACAAAAUAAUGCGCCAUUGGAUAUUAACCAGUAUAUUCCUGCUAUAAUCACACAUUAUGACAAGAGUCCUUCAUUUUAACAAGCUGUCAAUGGCAUCCGCCCAGGAAAACUCAUACAUACACUCAGGACAAUGAUACAUAGUCGAAAGAAACAUGCGAAGAUUUGA
rnacentral:lncRNA from 1 species